rnacentral:rRNA from 1 species
CCCUUAGAUGUUCUGGGCUGCACGCGCGCUACACUGAUACACUCAACGAGUUCCUGUCUUGAAAGAGUCGGGUAAUCAUUUGAGCGUGUAUCGUGAUGGGGAUAGAAUAUUGUAAUUAUUACUCUUCAACGAGGAAUUCCUAGUAGUCACUGUUCAUCAGACAGUGACGACUAUGUCCCUGCCCUUUGUACACACCGCCCGUCGCUCCUACCGAUUGAGUGGUCCGGUGAGGCUUUGGGAUCUGAGCAAAGAGAGCGUUUCGCUCGUUUUGCCCGGAAAACUCAGUCGAACCUUAUCAUUUAGAGGAAGGAGAAGUCGUAACA